AGGAAAAAGAAAAUAGAAAUUAAAAUUCAUCCUCAUCCUUCUCCUCUCCUUUUCGCGCUCUCUCUACGCUACCCUCUUUCUCUCUGUAAAAUUUCAACAACUCUCUACUCCCUCCGAUCAGCCACCGUGAUAUCUCCAAUCACUCCACCGGGAAGCAUGCUGUACCCACUGCCAAUCCAAGCUCUCAAUUUUCCCUAGUUUUUCUCAAUUUUGGAACUGAGGUUGCAAACCCACUUCCAUUUAGAUUUUCAAAUUAGUUGAAAUUAGAGGUGAACCGAGUGCAGGCACAAGCGAUACUGGAAAGGGGCACAUCCAUGGUUGACUAAACAGGUAAUAGAGUUUUUGUGACGUGUACAGAGUUUAGAAGCGAAUGAUCUCGCUCGUGGGCAGCUGCACGUGGCAUGCUUAGGCUAACUUUUGAUUGUAUAUAGUUGGUUUGGAGAUGUAAGGUUAUGUAACCUUCUUUUGCUAAUGGGAUUGUAAAUAAUUGUCGAA